AAGUCGUAACAAGGUUUCCGUAGGUGAACCUGCGGAAGGAUCAUUAAAAGAUAUGGCAUGUCCCUUGUGGAUAUUACCAAUCAACCCAUUCUGAGUACCUUACCUGUUGCUUCCACACAGUGUCUGUGCAUUAGUACUGACAUCCUGAUGAUAGGUGAAAGCCUAUCGGAGGGAGAUGUGUGGAGGGUAUACUUAUAAACUCUUGCAUUACCAUGUAUUCUGUCUGAUAAUGUUUAAUAUAAACUAUUAAAACUUUCAACAACGGAUCUCUUGGUUCUCGCAUCGAUGAAGAACGCAGCGAAAUGCGAUAAGUAAUGUGAAUUGCAGAAUUCAGUGAAUCAUCGAAUCUUUGAACGCACAUUGCGCCUCCUGGUAUUCCGGGAGGCAUGCCUGUUCGAGCGUCAUUAUAAUCUACUCAAGCUUUCUUGCUUGGUAUUGAGAGAUGAGUAUGCAUAUGCGUACUCACUUUCGAAAUCCAAAGGCGUAGAGCCCCACGUGCCACGGCGUAGUAAGUUUUCUUUCGCUUGGAAUGUGAGGUGAUAUUGCCACAAACCCCCAAUUUUUCUAGAUUGACCUCGAAUCAGGUAGGGAUACCCGCUGAACUUAA
rnacentral:rRNA from 1 species